AACGAACGCUGGCGGCGCGUCUUAAGCAUGCAAGUCGAGCGGCAAGGGUAGCAAUACCCCUAGAGCGGCGGACUGGUGAGUAACACGUGGGUGAUCUACCUUUUGGUUGGGGAUAGCCAUUAGAAAUAGUGGGUAAUACCGAAUGAGGUUGGGAGACUAAGGUCUCUUAAAGAAAGGAGCUACGGCUCCGCCAGGAGAUGAGCCCGCGGCCCAUUAGCUAGUUGGGGGUGUAACGGACCACCAAGGCGAUGAUGGGUAGCCGGCCUGAGAGGGUGAACGGCCACACUGGGACUGAGAUACGGCCCAGACUCCUACGGGAGGCAGCAGCUAAGAAUAUUCCGCAAUGGACGAAAGUCUGACGGAGCGACGCCGCGUGGAUGACGAAGGCCGAAAGGUUGUAAAGUCCUUUUGUCGAUGAAGAAUAAGUGUGGGAGGGAAUGCCCGCAUGAUGACGUUAGUCGGCGAAUAAGCCCCGGCUAAUUACGUGCCAGCAGCCGCGG
rnacentral:rRNA from 1 species